GCCGGGCGCGGUGGCGCAUGCCUAUAGUCCCAGCUACUCGGGAGGCUGAGGUGGGAGGAUCGCUUGAGUCCAGGAGUUUUGGGCUGCAGUGCGCUAUGCCAAUCGGGUAUCCACACUAAGUUCAGCAUCAAUAUGGUGACCUCCUGGGAGUGGGGGACCGCCAGGUUGCCUAAGGAGGGGUGAACCUGCCCAGGUCGGAAACGGAGCAGGUCAAAACUCUCAUGCUGACCAAUGGUCCCCAGCCUGGUCCGGGAAGGUCCUGGCCUCCCAGCUUCGCAUGCCUGGUCCAGUCUCU
rnacentral:SRP_RNA from 1 species